GGAUUCGACUUAGCCAUGCAAGUCUGGGGACUUCGGUCACCGGCGAAAGGCUCAGUAACACGUCGAUAAUCUGCCCUAUGGUCGGGAAUAGCCUCGGGAAACUGAGGGUAAAUCCUGAUAGGAAAUUCAUUCUGGGAUGAAGAAUUUUUUAAACUCGUGCCAUAGGAUGAGUCGGCGGUUGAUUAGGUUGUUGGUGGGGUAAAGGCCCACCAAGCCGAAGAUCAGUAGGGGCCAUGAAAGUGGUAGCCCCGAGAAGGACACUGAGACACUGGUCCUAGCCCUACGGGGUGCAGCAGGCGCGUAACCUUUACAAUGCACGCAAGUGUGAUAAGGGGAUCCCAAGUGCUUAUACACUGUAUAGGCUUUUGCCAAGAGCAAACAUCUUGGCGAAUAAGUGGUGGGUAAGACGGGUGCCAGCCGCCGCGGUAACACCUGCGCCACUAGUGGCAAUCACAUAUUAGGCCUAAAGCGUCCGUAGCCGGUUGGAUAAAUCUUUUGUGAAAUCGUCAAGCUUAACUUGACGGCGUGCAGAAGACACUAUUCGACUCGAGACUGGGAGGAGUCAGAGGUAUUUCUGGGGGACUGGUAAAAUGGUAUAAUCCCGGAAAGACCACCUGUGGCGAAGGCGUCUGACCAGAACAGAUCUGACGGUGAGGGACGAAAGCUAGGGGAGCGAACCGGAUUAGAUACCCGAGUAGUCCUAGCAGUAAACGCUGCGAGCUAGGUGUUGCAUAUUCUACGAGAAUGUGCAGUGUCGAAACGAAGGUAAUAAGCUCGCCGCCUGGGAAGUACGGUCGCAAGACUGAAACUUUAAGGAAUUGGCGGGGGAGCACCACAAGGGGUGCGGCGUGCGGUUUAAUCUAACUCAACACAGAAAAUCUCACUAGAGGCGACGGCAGAAUGAUGGUCAGUCUGAAGGGCUUACCUGACGAGCCGAGAGGUAGUGCAUGGCCGCCGUCAGCUCGUGCCGUAAGGUGUCCAGCUAAGUCUGGUAACGAGCGAGACCUGUAUCCAUAAUUGCCAGCGACUACAUGUAGGAUCGGGCACAUUAUGGAGACUGCCCUCGAAAGGGGGAGGAAGGUGCAGGCUACGGUAGGUCUGUAUGCUCCGAAUCUUCUAGGCUACACGCGCGCAACAAUGGUAAAGACAAUGGGAUACGACUCCGUAAGGAGAAGUUAAUCCUCGAAACUUUAUCUUAGUUCAGAUCGAGGGCUGUAACUCGCCCUCGUGACGCUGGAAUCCCUAGUAAUCAGAAGUCAUCAUCUUCUGGUGAAUAUGUCCCUGCUCCUUGCACACACCGCCCGUCAAACCAACCGAGCAGGGUCUUGUUGAGACGUAUGUUAAUUACGCCGAAACUAGGCUCAGUGAGGUGGGUUAAGUCGUCACAAGGUA
rnacentral:rRNA from 1 species